UGGAAGUUUUGGUAUUAGCUGUAACAGUC
rnacentral:piRNA from 1 species